AACGAACGCUGGCGGCAGGCCUAACACAUGCAAGUCGAGCGCCCAGCAAUGGGAGCGGCAGACGGGUGAGUAACGCGUGGGUAUCUACCUAGUGGUGCGGAAUAGCCCAGGGAAACUUGGAGUAAUACCGCAUAAGCCCGAAAGGGGAAGAUUUAUCGCCAUUAGAUGAGCCCGCGUUGGAUUAGCUAGUUGGUGGGGUAACGGCCCACCAAGGCGACGAUCCAUAGCUGGUCUGAGAGGAUGAUCAGCCACACUGGGACUGAGACACGGCCCAGACUCCUACGGGAGGCAGCAGUGGGGAAUAUUGGACAAUGGGCGCAAGCCUGAUCCAGCCAUGCCGCGUGAGUGACGAAGGUCUUCGGAUUGUAAAGCUCUUUUGGUCGGGGACGAUAAUGACGGUACCCGCAGAAUAAGCCCCGGCUAACUUCGUG
rnacentral:rRNA from 1 species